rnacentral:rRNA from 1 species
GAGUUUGAACCUGGCUCAGGACGAACGCUGGCGGCACGCCUAACACAUGCAAGUCGAACGGUGAAGGGGGAGCUUGCUCCUCCGGAACAGUGGCGGACGGGUGAGUAACACGUGAGCAACCUGCCUUUCAGAGGGGGACAACAGUUGGAAACGACUGCUAAUACCGCAUAACGUAUUUUGGCGGCAUCGCCGGAAUACCAAAGGAGCAAUCCGCUGAAAGAUGGGCUCGCGUCUGAUUAGAUAGUUGGUGAGGUAACGGCUCACCAAGUCGACGAUCAGUAGCCGGACUGAGAGGUUGAACGGCCACAUUGGGACUGAGACACGGCCCAGACUCCUACGGGAGGCAGCAGUGGGGGAUAUUGGUCAAUGGGGGAAACCCUGAUCCAGCGAUGCCGCGUGAGGGAAGAAGGUUUUCGGAUUGUAAACCUCUGUGGAGGGGGACGAUAAUGACGGUACCCCUUUAGGAAGCCACGGCUAACUACGUGCCAGCAGCCGCGGUAAUACGUAGGUGGCGAGCGUUGUCCGGAAUUACUGGGUGUAAAGGGAGUGUAGGCGGGAAAGCAAGUCAGAAGUGAAAACUAUGGGCUUAACCCAUAGCCUGCUUUUGAAACUGUUUUUCUUGAGUG